UACGUAGGGGGCUAGCGUUGUCCGGAAUUACUGGGCGUAAAGGGCUCGUAGGCGGCCAACUAAGUCAUACGUGAAAUCCCUCAGCUUAACUGGGGAACUGCGUGUGAUACUGGAUGGCUUGGAUUUGGGAGAGGGAUGCGGAAUUCCAGGUGUAGCGGUGAAAUGCGUAGAUAUCUGGAGGAACACCGGUGGCGAAGGCGGGAUCCUGGGCCAGUACUGACGCUGAGGAGCGAAAGCGUGGGGAGCAAACAGG
rnacentral:rRNA from 1 species